UCCGUAGGGAGCAAGCGUUAAUCGGAAUUACUGGGCGUAAAGCGUGCGCAGGCGGUUAUGUAAGACAGAGGUGAAAUCCCCGGGCUCAACCUGGGAAAUGCCUUUGUGACUGCAUAGCUGGAGUAAGGCAGAGGGGGAUGGAAUUCCGCGUGUAGCAGUGAAAUGCGUAGAUAUGCGGAGGAACACCGAUGGCGAAGGCAAUACCCUGGGCCUGUACUGACGCUCAUGCACGAAAGCGUGGGUAGAAAACAGG
rnacentral:rRNA from 1 species